rnacentral:rRNA from 1 species
AUGAAGCUAAUCAGUUGGAACUGUCGUGGUAUGCUUUCGCCCACGGCAAUUCGAGAGCUCUUGGGUCUUCAAGGGCGUGUGAAAGCGGAUGUGAUUUUCUUGUCUGAAUCCCAUCUGAAUACAGCUAAGGCAACUGAGGUAAGGGUGAAGCUAGGUUUUGAUCGUUUUCAUAUUGUUGAUAGUGAUGGACGAUCAGGAGGUCUUGCACUUUUUUACAACAUUUCAAAUGAAGUGGUGUUAAAUUAUUCGUCGCCUAAUUUCACUGAUGGUUUCGUCAUGGAUGGAAUCAACCUGUCAUGGCGGCUGACUGGUUUUUAUGGAGAACCAAACUGGGACAUGAAACACUUGUCAUGGACGAAUAUGAUAAUCCUUCAUCACAACUCAACAGGACCAUGGAUGAUCUUUGGAGAUUUUAAUGAGAUACUAGUUGCUAGCGAGAAGGAGGGUGGAAACAUCAGACCGCAACAAUAUAUGCAGAAUUUUCGCGACUGUGUGGAUGAUUGUGGUUUACAAGAAAUCAUGUUUAUAGGGGACCCUUUUACUUGGAGUAGAGGUGUGAUCAGAGAAAGGCUGGAUAGAGCCUUAUGCAACGAAAAGUGGGCUGAUAUUUUUCUUAUGCAGCGGUUAUCCAUGAACACCAUGUACCUUCAGACCACAGACCAAUACUGCUAG